ensembl:lncRNA
CGAUUGCUGAAUGAAGAUGGCGGAUUCAGGAACGAUGCUGUCAACUAGACUUUAAACAUUUGCAUAUUUUCUGUCGUUAUGCAUUUCGUGUGGAUAUUGGUCUUUCAAAAACGUACCUAGGUGGCGAGAGAGGGCGGCGGAGGAGAAGAGAGCGCAGGAGGCCCUCGUCUCAUAGACUGCUGCUCACGCUGAGCGCCAUUGUUUUGGGUCGGCUUCUGGGAUUUGAUCCAUUGUCCUGGGUGGUGGUCCAGAUACAGGAUCCACUUCGGGAAAGUCGUAUUCCUGGUCGUAAUGUUGGUAAGUUGACGUCGCUCUUAUAUCCAAUAGUUCGUCCCAGCUGUAUGUAAUAAAACUUAAGAUUUCCUGGGGUAGUAUGUAAGAAAUAAUACAUAAAAAACAAAAUACUCCAUAGUUUCCUAAGGACUAAAAGCGAGGGGACUAUCUCUGUCGGUGCCAUCUUGCAGUGAUCUCCCCUCUCUCUUGCGCACCCCCUUCCCCUCCUGACUCUUUUGCUCACACCCUCCCCGUCUCCUCUCUUCUCUCCC